rnacentral:rRNA from 1 species
GUGUUUAUUUACCUUGUUGCUUCGGCGGGCCCGCCUUAACUGGCCGCCGGGGGGCUUACGCCCCCGGGCCCGCGCCCGCCGAAGACACCCUCGAACUCUGUCUGAAGAUUGUAGUCUGAGUGAAAAUAUAAAUUAUUUAAAACUUUCAACAACGGAUCUCUUGGUUCCGGCAUCGAUGAAGAACGCAGCGAAAUGCGAUACGUAAUGUGAAUUGCAAAUUCAGUGAAUCAUCGAGUCUUUGAACGCACAUUGCGCCCCCUGGUAUUCCGGGGGGCAUGCCUGUCCGAGCGUCAUUGCUGCCCUCAAGCACGGCUUGUGUGUUGGGCCCCGUCCUCCGAUUCCGGGGGACGGGCCCGAAAGGCAGCGGCGGCACCGCGUCCGGUCCUCGAGCGUAUGGGGCUUUGUCACCCGCUCUGUAGGCCCGGCCGGCGCUUGCCGAUCAACCCAAAUUUUUAUCCAGGUUGACCUCGGAUCAGGUAGGGAUACCCGCUGAACUUAAGCAUAUC